rnacentral:rRNA from 1 species
AAUGAACGUUGGCGGCGUGGAUUAGGCAUGCAAGUCGUGCGAGAACCGUAGCAAUACGGGGACAGCGGCGAAAGGGAGAGGAAUACGUGGAUACCUACCCUCAGGUUCAGGAUAGCCAUGGGAAACUAUGGUAAUACUGAAUAAUAUCUCCGGAUCAAAGGUGUGAUUCCACCUGAGGAGGGGUCCGCGUCCUAUUAGCUAGUUGGUGAGGUAACGGCUCACCAAGGCGAAGAUGGGUAUGGGAUGUGAGAGCAUGAUCCCACUCACUGGGACUGAGACACUGCCCAGAAACCUACGGGUGGCUGCAGUCGAGAAUCUUCGGCAAUGGGGGCAACCCUGACCGAGCGACGCCGCGUGCGAGAUGAAGGCCUUCGGGUUGUAAAUCGCUGUCAGAGGGGAGGAAAUGCUAGUGGGUUCUCCCACUAGUUUGACCUAGCCUCAGAGGAAGGACGGGCUAAGUUCGUGCCAGCCGCCGCAGUAAUAC